CCUUUUUUGAAUUAUGCUAUGGUUGAAUGUAUGUAUGCCUUCAAAAUUCAUACAUUGGUACUUAAUACCGAGUGUUAUAGUACUACAGGGUGGGGCCUUUUAGGAAUAUGUCUUAGGAAGUGAUAAGGCAUGAACACUCCACUCUCAUGAAUGGGAUUAAUGCUCUUAAAAAAGAGGUUGAAAGGAUUGCUCUGGUCCCUUUUGUCCUCUGUCCCUCCAGCCAUGUGAGGACACAGCAUCUGUGGCAACAAGGAGCCACCUUGGGAGCAGAGAGCAAGCUCUUCCAGACACUGAAUCUGCCAGCACCUUGAUCUUGGUCCAGCCUUCAGAACUAUCAGUUGUGCUGGGGGAACUAAGCUACCGUGUUAUAAGCAGACCUAUUGUGUGGACAGGAACUAAAGCCUGCCAAAUACCGUGUGCGUGAGUCUGAAAACGGACCUUUCAGCCCCUGUCGAGUCUUGAGAUGACAGCAGCCCCAGCUGAAUGCUUGACUGCAACCUCAUGAGAGAACUUGAGGCAAUUCUAACCAGCUAAGCUGCUCCCAGAUUUCUGACCCUCCAAAACUGUGAGUACUAAAUACUUGCAGUUUUCAGCCACUGAGGUGAUUUGCUAUGCAGCAAUAGUAAUAGUAACAAACACACAGACUUCUGAACCUUUCC
rnacentral:lncRNA from 1 species